UGGGGAAUCUUGCGCAAUGGGCGAAAGCCUGACGCAGCAACGCCGCGUGGGGGAUGAAGGCUUUCGGGUUGUAAACCCCUUUCAGCAGGGACGAUUAUGACGGUACCUGCAGAAGAAGGACCGGCCAACUACGUGCCAGCAGCCGCGGUAAUACGUAGGGUCCAAGCGUUGUCCGGAUUUAUUGGGCGUAAAGAGCUCGUAGGUGGUUCGCUAAGUCGGAUGUGAAAACUCGGGGCUCAACCCCGAGACGCCAUCCGAUACUGGCGUGACUUGAGUCUGGUAGGGGAGAUCGGAAUUCCUGGUGUAGCGGUGAAAUGCGCAGAUAUCAGGAGGAACACCGGUGGCGAAGGCGGAUCUCUGGGCCAGUACUGACACUGAGGAGCGAAAGCGUGGGUAGCAAACAGG
rnacentral:rRNA from 1 species